AAUAAAAUUACAAAACAGAGAAGAAGAAGCGAAAAAAAGAGAGAUGUCGAAGCCGAACAGAGAAGAUUAGGGCUUUCGUUGGGUUUUCAAAUACCAAACUAAAAUUAAGGCAUGUCGUCUGAUACGGCUAAGGAAAAUGCAUCUGUUGUCGAUUCAUCUUUGACUGAUUGGAAAAAAGAUAUGGGGAACUCUGAUGAUCCAGAGAAUUCAAGUUACAGAAGCAAGGAAGACAAUAAUAACCUGUCCAAGGUGGAUGUUGAACGACCUAACUUUCCUGAUCAACUUAAAAGCUCAAACCCGGAUAAAAAUAGUAAACCGGGCCACCAGACGAGAUACUUUAUCAUCAAAAGUCUAAAUUAUGAGAAUAUUCAAGUUUCAGUCGAGAAAGGGAUUUGGGCCACGCAAGUAAUGAAUGAGCCAAUAUUGGAAGGUGCUUUUCAUAAAUCUGGUCGAGUGAUUUUAAUCUUCAGCGUGAACAUGAGCGGAUUCUUUCAAGGGUAUGCAGAGAUGUUGUCUCCUGUGGGAUGGAGGCGAGACCAUAUAUGGAGCCAGGGAGGUGGUAAAAACAAUCCGUGGGGACGUAGUUUUAAAGUCAAAUGGUUGCGGUUGAGUGAAUUGCCUUUUCAGAAAACACUUCAUCUGAAGAAUCCUUUGAAUGAUUACAAGCCUGUCAAGAUUAGUCGAGAUUGUCAGGAAUUACCAGAAGAUAUUGGCGAAGCACUUUGUGAACUCCUUGAUGCAAAUAGCUGCGAUGAUGGGUUGCUGAAUAGCUGUUCUAGGGAUGAUUAUUCAACAAAAAGAUCCCGCGCAGAACCUUUAUCUUCCUCAGGAGACGAAGAUUAUAAUAACAAUAUGUGGGGCCAUACAGCGAUGCCAUACCCGCCUGCAGCUUACCCAAACCAGGAUGACCUCAGCAGAUUUCAUCUUGCACAACAAAGAGGAUAUGGAGAACACUCAGAAUAUCUUCAUACAUCAUCAGGUGCAUCUAACUCUCGCACAGAGCAAGAAAAGUCUUUAAGAUUCAACUCAUGGGGUUUGCCUUUGGAAAGCCCUCUUGCGAGUUCCCUAACCGAUGAUGAUUUUCUUAACAUGGUAGUGGCAUAUCUGUUUGUAAUAUAUGCUGAGUUAAUCCAAUUACAGUCUCUUGUUCUCGAACUAGAUAUUUUUUGUAAGUCAUGUUGUUUAGAAGAAUCAAAGAUAGUAAUGAGACACUACUGGAAACUUGGUGAAAACAUUUGUACUAUUUUUCAAACUCUGAGCUAUUUCACUGAGCUCUUGCUGAUCCAUAUUACUUACAUAUAUCAGGGUCUGACACAAGUUUAGCGUUUUAUUAUGAUGUUACAGGGACUUGUUUCUGUUUCUUGAGAAUCAUCAUGAGCUCAGGUUUUGUUGUUGUCUAAUUGUUGACAAAGUCUUGUGAUUGUGUUUUUUCUCGUUUUUGCAGUCUUAUGAAGAAUACCUUGAAACCCACAGCAGAUGCAUGAAACAACUUGGUCUUCCUGUGAUUACACACUCACGGGCCACACAAGAGCCAUCAAGUAAA